UACGUAGGGGGCAAGCGUUGUCCGGAAUCAUUGGGCGUAAAGAGCGUGUAGGCGGCCCGGUAAGUCCGCUGUGAAAGUCCAGGGCUCAACCCUGGAAUGCCGGUGGAAACUGUCGGGCUAGAGUCCGGAAGAGGCGAGUGGAAUUCCUGGUGUAGCGGUGAAAUGCGCAGAUAUCAGGAGGAACACCUAUUGCGAAGGCAGCUCGCUGGGACGUUACUGACGCUGAGACGCGAAAGCGUGGGGAGCAAACAGG
rnacentral:rRNA from 1 species